CCCUUCUGGUUCCAUCAGCUGCCCCCGGAUUCCUCCUCGGCCGCUGCUGCUCGGGCCCCUCCUCACAGACUUCAAUCACCUGCCCACCUGUCGCUCAGUCACCUGCCAACUUCUCGGGAGGUUCCUCAGUGAGUCCGUCUCUCCACUCCCCCCUGCCCGGUUCCUUCAUCCGGCGAUCGAUCAGUCCUGCCUGCGCUGAUAGUCCACCUGCUCACCGUGCCGCAGCUCCCAGUGUUUGGUUCCCUCGCUGUUUAAUUAAACGUCUGAAAAUUGC